ACAAUCCAAAACAGUCUAAAAUGACACUGCAACUGUGAUUCUCUUUCAAGAACUUAUUAUAAUUUUCAAGUUUUACUUUUAUUUAUCAUUUGAUAUAUUUGUACCUUCAAUAAAUGUCAAAAAAAAAUGAUGAUGGCUUUGAUAUUUUGGGAUCACCCCUGUUUCACAUUAUGAUUGCCCCUUCAGUUAUACUGUUGAAAAAUUUGAAUCUCAGACAUUAAUGGGUCAAGUGGUUAUAGUUGGAAAUAGUGCAAACCUGGAUUUAUUUAAAGCAAUUAUGGAGAUAUCUUGUUUUAUUAAUGUUAGGGAGCAUAUUUUGGAAUUUUCAAAAAAAACAUUUAUCUAAGUGUGACAAGAUUCAGGAAAUGUUUGGUUGUUGUAAUUGAACCUAAAGAUCAAUGACCUGGGACAGGAAGAUAAACAAAAGAAACAAGAUAGUUAAAAUGUUCAGAGUCAGCUAGUAAGCAAGUUUGCAGGACUGUUCCAAACUAUCCAGCUUUGCUGUGUUUUAUCAUAGUAUAAAGCAGAGGAAUAUAAUGGAAUGUCAUUGGCAUUGGCACCUUCAAAGUCAAGUGAUUAAGGAAGCCAACUGUAGACCAGGAAAGGCUUCAAGGAAUAUACUACAGAAUUGUAUCCUGGAGCAUUUUCCACAUGUGACCCCUGUGAUGGUGAGGGAAAAACUAAGGGACACUUUAAAAUCAUGGAGAGUGAACAGGAAUUCAAAAGAUAGAUAUUUGAAUACAUUAAAAUAUAGCCGGAUACCAAAAAAUUAUAACUGAACAUUGAUUGUAAUAUUUACCAUUAAAGACUAUAACUAACUUAA